GAACUACUCACUCCGUUUCGUAAUUCUUGUCCAAAUAUUACAUGUAUCUAGACGCUUUUUAGAAAUAGAUACAUCUAUUUUGACAAUUUGAGACAAGAAUUAUGAAACGGAGGGAGUAGUUU
rnacentral:pre_miRNA from 1 species